UGUGACGUCAUAUGUUCAUUUACCGAUAAAAAACUGACAAU
rnacentral:sRNA from 1 species